rnacentral:sRNA from 1 species
UGUAUCAUGUAUUGGAUGUUUAUUGGU